UUGCUAGUGUAUAUAUAUAUAUUUAGUUAUUAUUUCCGUUUAUUUUAUAUAAUUAUUCAUAUUAAUUGUUAUUUACUUAUUGGUAAUUAUAUUUAUUCAACUAGUGUUGGCUGUGUGGACAUCUAUUCAUAAUCUCAAAAGUUAUCGACAGAAGGUAGACAGAAGGUUACCGUGCACAAAAACGACGCUAAGAAAUACCACAAGAAUAGAACAUUAAAUAUAUAAAAAGAAAAUUAAAAAUGUAACAAUAAGAAUUAAAUGUGAUAAAAUAAAUAAAUAAGAUAAUAAUAGUUUAAGAAUAUAAGUGUAAAAUAUAAGUAUAAAAAAAAAACGAAAAUUAUAUUUCUAGAGAAAGAGAAAGAGAAUUCAUCCUGGAAUUAGAAAUGAUAUUAAAACGGAACAAUCACGAUCAUAAAACUAAAGUAGAAAAGGAUGAGUUAUCUAAAUGUCUAUUAAAACACAUAAGUGAAGCAAACCACAAAAUUGACAAGCCAUUUAGAUUUAGUAGGAGCGAAUUGAAGGGAAUAACCAAAACAAUAGCUCAUAAAUUAUGGGAUAGUACAGAAGGCGAAAUAGGAGUUUACGAAUCGCGUUGCGAACUAAUAUACGUAUACAUCAUGAAUUGGGUCGCAGAUCCAAGGAUAUUGUUAAACUAUAACCGUCGAGACGAAGUUAGACGAAGCUCUAGAAUACGUAGAAACAGGAAUAAAGAAAUCAAGAACAAAAUAAUAAAUAAAAUAUAUAAUGUAUGAAAUUUAUGUUACUUUCAGGAUAAGGGACAGAGAAUUCGUACCCGGACUAGAACUAAAGCAAUUUUAUAUAGGGAGCAUGACACAAGUACUGUAGGAAAAAGAGAUAUACCUAAAUGUUUAAAAGAGCACAUAGCGAUAGCGAACAGUGUUCUACAUGACGUUUUUACAAAGGAGGAAAUUAAAAGGAUAACAAAAAACAUAACCGUAUUCUUAUGUGCCAAAACAGAUCGACAAGGGAGGUUAAGUAGAACGACUUGUAAGGACUUAAUCAAAUUGCUGGACUAUGUGCCCGAAGUUGGAAUGUUAUUAAAUUUUACGGAUGAAGAAUAAAUUUUAAAAAUAAUAAUAAUAAUAGUAUAAAAUAGAAAUAAAAAAAUGUGAUAUAUAUAUAUAAUUAAAUAAGCUAAAUGCAUAAAUCAUUUAAACAAGUAGAAAAUAAGUAAUAACUAAGAAAUGUAAAUAUUAUAGAUUACUGAUGAUACAGACCGUCAAAGCGCAAAGAGUAACGAACGACAGAAUGUUGGGAACCACAAUCUUUUAUAAAUAUGAUGAAAUAAAUUCACGAUUAUAAACGUAUCGGGCGAAAUCGAUGAUGAGUAUAGUUUUACGGACGACUGACGAGACAGAUAGCAAAAUAGAAUCACUACGAAUAAGAUGUAAUUUAGGAAGGGACCCACCAUUAUUCGAAGCAAAUUUAUCGGAAAAACCACUUACCUAUUAUUUACAAAAAUCGUGCGUACUGUAUGUAAGAAAUUUCGAUGGUACCAAGCACAGGUUAAAACAAAUUCCGGUAACAUACAAUUAUCUAAAAUUUAAGCCAGAAAAUGAGUCAGCACAAGUGAUAGUCGAGUCUAAAAUUGAACCAAAUAACGAAACCAUUAGUAUUGAGAACCAGGUUUUAGAACAAAAUAAAACUACUAAAAUAAAUAGGGAAAAGCUAAGAUCCGAGAAAAUAUCACAACCGAAAGGGUAGUAACGAUAUCCGAAAAAGUAGGAACAAUAUCAGAAAAGGGGGAAACGAUUUACCCAGCGAGUUACAUUAUAAAAAUUCCAAUGAGAACAACUGAAUCACCAGUGUCUAAUGACAGCGAUAGGGGUCGCGAGGGAACCGAAAAGAUAAAUUUAAAUAGUACAGAGAAACCAGUAAGCAUAUUCGACAACAAACAGAAAAUAAAGGAUAAAAAGGGAAAUGGACAGCAGGUUAACGAAAAAAGUGAUAAAAUUGGCUAUUUAAUGUUUGUAAUUAUGGGAUUAAUAAUAAUGACGUCUAUAAUAAUAAUAAUUAAUCUAAAUCGUAAUUAUAAGUUUGUGCAUAGAAGCAGGUAUAGGUACAUGAUAUACGCAUUAAACGAACAUCACCAAAUGAUGGAAACGGAAUGCUAAAAGAAAAUAUAUAAUAUAAUAAUAUAAUAAUACAUAUACAAUUUAAUUAAAAAUAAGUAGAUACUUAAAACGUAGAAUAAAUAUAGGAUUAAUCAUUAUAAAAGAAAAGGGUAUAAUCUAGUUCCAAAGACAAAAUGCUUUACAUCGAAUAUAAACGAAUAAAUACAUAGGUCAAGUAAAUUAAGUUAGAUUUAGAACAAAUUAGAAUAUAAGUGGGAGACAGAGAAAGCGUAUUAAGAGUAUAUGAUUAAUGGCAAUCAUUCCGUUAUAGGGUGAACAUAAGGACCAUUACGGUGAAUACAGCGUACCUGACAAAAAUAGUGCAGUUGGAAGAGGGGGAGACUAGCGAGCCAACACAUGAACUGUCAAUAGUAAAGAAGUCAGGGGGGCGUUUAGUAACAAUGAUACUGUCAAAAGCGGGAGUAUUUUUGAGAGAAAUGGAAAUAUAUAGAAGUAGGGAACCCGGCGCGUUUACACAAACAGGUAGGCACAUUACAUUGGAUGAAGCGCACGGAGUAAUAUGUUGGUGUAGUCAUGACCGCAUAGCUGGUUUGUCCAGUAUAGCGCUAUUGUGUAGGUGUAUAGUAGGUUUAAUGACGAGGGAGGACGCAUGGAAAACCUCAACCAAACCACUAGUAUUGCAAAUGCAUGGAUUUAUACAACAAACGGUUUAACAUUAACAAUAACAUGUCAAGGAAGUAAGGAACCUUAUAUAGUAAACAUUAAAAACCAAGGUAUAAUAAAAUUAAAUCAAGAAUGCCGAGCCUACGCGGGAGAUAUUCUAUUAAAUCCAACGCGAGAUAUAAAAACAAAUUAUUAUAUUAAUUUUAUACCACAAAUAGGGACAGGCAAACUAUCGAUAACUCUACCUAAUAAAAUUAAAGAUGUAGAAUUACCAAAAAUAAAAAAUAAAUAUGACUCAUCAAUUGGAUAAAGUGCAUGAAAUAAAGCAAUCCUUAGAUGAAGUACAGGGGGGCGAUUGUAAACUCCGCCAGAAUAUCGGUUAAGAUAAAAAGGUAAUAAUAGGUCUAUGGUAAACUCCGCCAGCUUUUUUUUCUUACCUGUAAUGGGUAUAUGUAAACUCCGCCAGUUUUUUUUUUUACCUGGUCAGUGCGACAGUACUCACAUUGCCACGUGCCUUCUCACAUUAAAUACGUUUACAUCUAUUGUGAUGUAUAUGUCAAAAUUGAUAAAAUAUUGUCAAGGUUAGAUCGAUUCAAAUUAUUAAUAAUUUUAUCUUCAUAUUAUCUGAAAUCAGGAUUUCCAAUGAUGAUAUCGGCAGUAGAUAAGGUAUACGUAAAGACGUAUACUUUGACGAACAUAAUCAUUCGUAGUCUGCGUGUUUCCGUACUUCUGAUAUUUGUAAUUUGUAUAUGUCCGAACGAAAUAUGUCGCAAGAAAAUAAUAGUAUAAAAUUAAUUACUGGCGAACGAGGCAAUUUGUUGGUUGUAUUUAAAAAUUAUAAGUAUAAUAAAAAUAUAAAAUACGCGUCUGGUGAAAUAAAAUGGAGGUGCAAUAACAAAAAUUGUAAUGCAUUUAUAAAAACUGUUGGAGCUGAGCAGCAUAAUAUUGCUUUAACACAUUUUGCAAAUGAUACUCACAUUACUUCAUGCCUUCCAAUUUCCAUCCAAACACUAGAAAGACAAGAAAUAAGUAGUUGUGUAAAGAGGAAAGCGGUAGAAGAUAUUCGUGAUAAACCGGGUUAGGUUAUUUUUUUAUUUUUUUAUUUACUUUACAUGGAUAUUUUAAUGGACAUUAUAUACCACUUGUCUUCUGUCUUUUAAAAGAUAAAAAACAAGAGACUUACAUUAAUUGUUUCAAAUCAAUCUGUGAAAAAUGUUUAGAGUUAAAUUUAGUUUUUAGUCCAACAGAAAUAGUUGUCGAUUUUGAAUUAGCAAUUCAUAAUGCAUGCGAAAAAAUAUGGCCUGAUGUUAAUCUAGUAGGAUGUAGAUUUCAUCUCAGCCAAUCAUGGUGGAGGGCAAUUCAAAACUUUGGACUGAGUGUUGAAUAUAAAAGUGAAUCAGAAAUAAGUAAGUAACUUCAUUUAUGUUUCGGAUUAUUAUUUUUAUCUCCGGAAAAAGUUCCCGAUGUAUUUGCAUUUACUUUAGAAGCAAUCAUGCCAUCCGACUCUAGAGUAACUAAGUUCUCAGAUUACCUUGUUGACAAUUAUAUAAGUAAUGAAGCAGCAUUUCCUCCUCAUUUGUGGGCUGAUCAAAAUGCAAAUUUAAAUCGAACAACAAAUGCCUGUGAAUCCUUUCAUAGUCAUCUGAGAAAUUCAUUUUAUAAAAGUCAUCCGAAUGUUCACAUUUUUAGUAAAGUUCUUAUCGAAUUUCAAACCCAAACUUAUAUUAAACUAAAUGGCAUAUCUCAAGUAAAUCAGCUAAAAAAUUCGAAAUCAAAAAAAAAAAAGACAGUAUUACAGGAUGCUAUGAAUAGGUAUACUAAUAAAGAAAUACAAGACUUAGAAUAUUUGCAAAUUGUAUCACAUCAUUAUAGUUUUACAUAAUAGUUUUU